ensembl:snRNA U6 U6 spliceosomal RNA
UUGCUCACUUUAGCAGCACAUAUACUAAAAUUGGAGCAAUACAGAGAAGAUUAGUGUGGCCCCUGCAUGAGGAUGCUAUGCACAUUCCUGAGCAUUCAAUAUUUUCU